rnacentral:rRNA from 1 species
AGCAGAUAUUAGCUACUACCCUUUCCUCCCUGCUGAAAGUGCUUUACAACCCUAGAGCCUUCUUCACACACGCGGCAUGGCUGCAUCAGGGUUUCCCCCAUUGUGCAAUAUUCCC